GCGGGGUAGCUUAGUCAGUAGAGGAUGAGACGCUGAAUCUCAGGGUUGUGGAUUCGAGCCCCACGUUGGGCA